CAUACCACGUUGAAUACGUUCCCGGGUCUUGUACACACCCGCCCCGUCACACCACGAAAAGUUGGGGGUACCCGAAGUGCCUACUUGUAGGCCCUAAGGUAAAACUCAGCGAUUGGGGUG
rnacentral:rRNA from 1 species